UGUUGUUAUUAUAUAGUCUUGGUCUGGAGGAUAGGACUCGAACCAAUGGCUUCAAGUUACAAGAAAGGAGAGUCUGGCUAAACAUCAGGAAGAACUUUCUGACAGUAAGAUCUGUUUGAUAGUGGAAUGGUCUCCCCUGGGUGAUGGUGGACUCCUCUUUCCAUCUCUGGGCUACUGCACAUAGAUCUAGUUUAAACACAUGUGUUUGGGGCUUGCGUGGCAAACCGUAGUGUUGAGAAUUCUCACUGGGAUGACUGAAAGCCUUAACCUGUUGGAACCCCAAGCAAUUGCUAAGUCAGCCACCCCCAGCCUGUUCUCCUUCAGAUGUUUAGGACCUUGUUUUCUCCUGCUCUGGAAGGUAGGACUCGAACCAGUGGCUUCAAGCUCCAAGAAGAGAGAGUCCAAGUAAACAUCAGGAAAAACCUUCUGACAGUAAGAGCUGUUCGUCGGUAGAACGGUCUCCCUCUGGAGGUUGUGAACUCUCCUUCCUUCCAACUCUACAGUUCUGUGAUUCUAUGAUUCUGUGUUCUACACAUGAAGGAUAAUUGAGGCAAUGAAUAAGUUAAUAAAGUGAAUGGAUCAAUAAAACCUCAUGAUGAUGCAGAAUUCGCCUCUUCAGGAGAAACCAUUUCUUGCUGUGACGGUUUUCUACUUGCAGAGGGGUGUGUGUGUUUAAUGUAUGGGACAUUUAUAAAUGUGAUUCUCUUACCUGUAGGGUGAAAUGGUCCAUUCAACUACAUCAUACAUGACCCCCUUCACUUGCCUGUUUGUAUAGAACAGGCCGUAGAGAAUGCUAGGUAAUUAAGUAUUGUAACUCUUCAUAAAUUAUCAUAAUUAUCUAGUUAUUUGUUUGCUGCUUUCCUUGUUCCCCAAUUUCUGUAUUUACAAAUAAAAUAUUAUAAAAUUGAUAA